rnacentral:lncRNA from 1 species
AAGUACUGUAGCAGAUCUUUGAGUUUCAAUGCACCUUGGUUGGUGUUGGCAACAAACAGGAGCUUCUGCACAUCAUGAUGACUUUACCUCCAUUCCCUCUACCCAGAACCCUAAAUUAUUCUGUUAUUGGAUCUGUGCCUGUAAUAUCAGGAUACUACCAUCCAAAUCUAUCUAGAUAUCUUGUGCAAAUAUUUUAUUGAUUACAAGGGCUGUAUACGGGGUUACAAAAAGACAUGAGCUGGAUUGGACACUCCUAAAACCAAAAACAACAGUGACAAUAGAGUCUCAGGAUAGCAGAGUCUGAAAAUACCUUGGUCUCCCCCAUUAUGUGAGCCCUUACUUGAGAGCUUCAUGAAGACACUUGUAACAUAUUCAACGUCCUGUACUCCAGUUUUGACUACGAGAUCAGAUUUUGGAGGUGAGAGGACAUGAUGUGCGCCCAUCCUCCCUUGCUUCCAGAUUGUUUUAGUGGGCCCUGAUGGUCAUUUUUCUAAACAGAGGCCCUGCUUUGUAAUAUGUGGCCAAGGAGAUAAUUUAUCUCACAGAAGCACCGGGAAGACUUAGCCUUAAAGAGCCUACAGUGUCCUUUUGGACUCUUUCACUUCGGGACAUUUAAUAAUGGACCAAAUUCAACAGAACACCAGGAAGGUCAAGACGCUCUCCAAAGGGCAGGAAGUACAGCACUUCCGAAGAGUUUAGUUGGCCCUUUGCUGGUUGGGCUGAGUUUUUUAUUUUUAAGUGUUUGUUUUUCAGUGCAAUAAUUUUUGUGUGUGUGUGAUUCUUAUCAGAAAGUUGAAUUGUUUUCUGCCUACACCGUUCAUCAGCCCCAUAACCCAGGAAGGAACAGGCAUUGUUAGCAUCAGAUUAUACCUCAUUAUUAAAAGGAGGCAUGGCCACACAUGAAG